UCGAGCUGGUCACCGAUCUCACUAGCGAGGCCUUCAUUGCUGCUCUGCGAAGAUUCAUCGCUCGCCGAGGAUUCUGUGUAACAAUUUAUUCUGACAACGGCACCAACUUCGUUGGCGCCAACAAUGAAUUACGAGAGCUCCGAAACCUCCUGCAGUCCGACGAUCAUAAGGUAAAGAUUCAGUCCUUUUUAGCCGAUCGACGAAUCGAAUGGCACUUCAUUCCUCCCAACUCACCUCACUUCGGCGGGCUGUGGGAGGCUGCGGUGAAGUCCUUCAAACGACAUCUCAGACGUGUCGCAGGACACUCCAUCCAAUCGUCUCUCCAGCUGGCAACAUAUUCAAAGGAUCAAACAACAUUUCUGGCGCCGUUGGCAUCGAGAAUACCUGAACGAGCUGAACAUCCGAAAUAAAUGGAGCAAGGGCAGUCACGACAUCCGAGUAGGCACCGUAGUAGUCCUCAGGGAGGA
rnacentral:misc_RNA from 1 species